rnacentral:rRNA from 1 species
UACGAAGGGGGCUAGCGUUGUUCGGAUUUACUGGGCGUAAAGCGCACGUAGGCGGAUCUUUAAGUCAGGGGUGAAAUCCCGAGGCUCAACCUCGGAACUGCCUUUGAUACUAUUGGUCUUGAAUGUUGUUGAGGUGGGCGGAACGGGUCAUGUAGCGGUGAAAUGCAUAGAUAUGACCCGGAACACCGAUUGCGAAGGCAGCCCGCUAAGCAACUAUUGACGCUGAGGCACGAAAGCGUGGGGAGCAAACAGG